UGUCCAAUGGUGUAAUGGCAGCACUCCAGAUUUUGGUUCUGUCAGUCCAGGUUCGAGUCCUGGUUGGACAA
rnacentral:tRNA from 1 species